AUGGGCUGCUACACAAAAAAGGAAGGAAUUGGGAGAAGAAGAAGGGUGGACGAUGAUGGUCUGUGGAUAGCAGGUUGUUCUCUGGCAGAGUGGUUUGCCGAAGUGCUAGAAUGUUGGUGUUCAGUGAUGAAAAUGAAGGAAUACAUAGAAGUGUGGCUUUGUGGAGAAUUUACGGUGAAGGUUGAAGGGAAAAAGGUUUUGUAUUGGGUUGUCCUGUCUAGAAAUUACAGAUGGCAGAAGGUGUAUUAA